rnacentral:rRNA from 1 species
CAGGAAAAGCUGCUAGCGUUAACUUAUAGAGAACCGUACCGAAAACCGACACAGGUAGACGGGUAGAGAAUACUCAGGCGCUUGAGAGAACUCGGGUGAAGGAACUAGGCAAAAUGGUACCGUAACUUCGGGAGAAGGUACGCCUUUUCUGGUGAUAUUUGGAAGCGAAUUGAGCUGGGAGAGGCCGCAGAGACCAGGUGGCUGCGACUGUUUAAUAAAAACACAGCACUCUGCAAAUUCGUAAGAAGACGUAUAGGGUGUGACGCCUGCCCGGUGCCGGAAGGUUAAUUGAAGGGGUUACUGCAUAGCGAUAUGCGGGAAGCUCAUGAUCGAAGCCCCGGUAAACGGCGGCCGUAACAAUAACGGUCCUAAGGUAGCGAAAUUCCUUGUCGGGUAAGUUCCGACCUGCACGAAUGGCGUAACGAUGGCCACACUGUCUCCACCCGAGACUCAGUGAAAUUGAAAUGGCUGUGAAGAUGCAGUCUACCCGCGGCUAGACGGAAAGACCCCGUGAACCUUUACUAUAGUUUUGCACUGGACUUUGAUGAUAACUGUGUAGGAUAGGUGGGAGGCUAUGAAGUUGCCACGCUAGUGGUGAUGGAGCCGCCGUUGAAAUACCACCCUGUUAUGAUUGAGGUUCUAACUUGGUCCACUGAACGUGGAUGAGGACAGUGUAUGAUGGGUAGUUUGACUGGGGCGGUCUCCUCCUAAAGAGUAACGGAGGAGCACAAAGGUACCCUCGGUACGGUCGGACAUCGUACCAAGAGUGUAAAGGCAAAAGGGUGCUUGACUGCGAGAGUGACGGCUCGAGCAGGAACGAAAGUUGGUCUUAGUGAUCCGGUGGUUCUGAAUGGAAGGGCCAUCGCUCAACGGAUAAAAGGUACUCCGGGGAUAACAGGCUGAUACCGCCCAAGAGUUCAUAUCGACGGCGGUGUUUGGCACCUCGAUGUCGGCUCAUCACAUCCUGGGGCUGAAGCAGGUCCCAAGGGUAUGGCUGUUCGCCAUUUAAAGUGGUACGCGAGCUGGGUUUAGAACGUCGUGAGACAGUUCGGUCCCUAUCUGCCGUGGGCGUAGGAAAAUUGAGGGGGUCUGCUCCUAGUACGAGAGGACCGGAGUGGACGAACCUCUGGUGUACCGGUUGUAACGCCAGUUGCAUCGCCGGGUAGCUAAGUUCGGAAGGGAUAACCGCUGAAAGCAUCUAAGCGGGAAGCCUGCCUCGAGAUGAGUUUUCCCAUGAAGCCCGUUGAAGACUACGACGUUGAUAGGCAAGGUGUGUAAGUACAGUAAUGUAUUUAGCUAACUUGUACUAAUUGGCUGAUUGUCUUGACCAA